GACCAGACUCCUACGGGAGGCAGCAGUGGGGAAUAUUGCACAAUGGGGGAAACCCUGAUGCAGCGACGCCGCGUGAGCGAUGAAGUAUUUCGGUAUGUAAAGCUCUAUCAGCAGGGAAGAAGAUGACGGUACCUGACUAAGAAGCCCCGGCUAACUACGUGCCAGCAGCCGCGGUAAUACGUAGGGGGCAAGCGUUAUCCGGAUUUACUGGGUGUAAAGGGAGCGUAGACGGCGAUGCAAGCCAGAUGUGAAAGCCCGGGGCUCAACCCCGGGACUGCAUUUGGAACUGUGUGGCUGGAGUGUCGGAGAGGCAGGCGGAAUUCCUAGUGUAGCGGUGAAAUGCGUAGAUAUUAGGAGGAACACCAGUGGCGAAGGCGGCCUGCUGGACGACAACUGACGGUGAGGCGCGAAAGCGUGGGGAGCAAACAGGAUUAGAUACCCCGGUAA
rnacentral:rRNA from 1 species